CAGCAAACCCUCAUGGCUAUUUAUGCAAAUGAGCAGCCCAACAAAGCAAGAGAGAUCAUGAUUCACAGAUCGUUUACACAGACCCGAGACCAAGACUGACAUGUCUUUGGACUGAAAAAGAGGAGCAGUCUGCAGCCUCCAGCCUUACCCAGCUGUGUUAUCAAUAGCACUUACAAAGGGCUGUCAGACUACUGAAAAUCAUCUAGACCUUCAUCUACACAAAGGCUUUCUCCAUUCCUGACAGAUCAAGCCAGUGACGAUCACUUCAACCAACAUACAUCAAAAUUGCAACAACAAAGUCUCCUUUCAGCAUUCAACAGAAGAUGCUAACAGCUCUUCCAGCAGACAGGUAUCACAAGGUUAAAGGCUAGCAGAGCUGUGCACCUUCAGGAUCUGACUGUCAGCAAAGGAGAUGAAUAGUUUCUCAAAACUAAUAAGGAAAAUGACAGCAAUGAUAAGAAGCAGAAGGACCUGACAACAAAAGAAAAAGAAAGGAAAAAAAAAAAAAAGAACCAGCAUAAAAUGAAUUCUGGGUAGUACAACACCUGGCAGAGCUGAUUUUAAUAUCUGGCAGGUUGAGUUCACUAAUCUUUGCUAUUCAUAUUGAUGUGAUACUUCAUAGAGUUUUAGAGAUUAUCUAUUAAGACAUGCAGUAAUGUUGUUACAACAUGGGAACAAGUUUUCUAGCACCUGCCAUUCAUUCUCCAUGAUAAAAAUUGAUAUGAUCUUUUUGAAAUGCCUAACAGAUAAUUACUCUCAACACUCAAUAAGAAAACAACAUCUUUAGAGUGUCCUUUAUCUUUAAAAAAUUUUAAAAAGUAGACUAAAACUCACACCAACAUUGUCUCCCCCUCUCUUUUGGUUCUUUGAUUACUUGGAGCCUUGUAAUCAAACUAAGCUUAGUUUCAGGACCCUUGGGGCAGUAUCUCUUAGUUCUCUGUCAGGCUGCGUUGGAAAACAAUCAAUCUUGUUCUUGCGCUGGCUUGGUAGAAGUGCCACAACACAUGGAGUGCGCUGCUUUGCUCUUUCUCUGAAGCUUCGAUGACAAAAGUUUUUAUCAGAAGCUGACUGUAUUUAGGAUUAUGAAUAUGCAAUGACUCUCAUUAGUAUUGAAGCACAGGAACACGGUCUGACAUCCCUUGCCACUUUUAGCUGCUGCAGAGUUGUCUAAUGAAUUGUCUUGCUCUUUCACUCUCACAGUCUUUGUUGUUAUGGCCCAGUUUGAGAAUACUAUUGAUGGCAAAAAAUUAAUUGCCAAAACCCACUCUUGAUUUUGUUAAACAGUUUUGAGUCAAUGCUUAAAUUGUCAAAACAGAAAAUCAUUAAACUCUACAGGAUACAAAUCCAUCAAAAGUGGAGAGAAUAUGCAUGUCUGCAUGCAUAGCCAUAAACAAGCAUAAAACUAUAUGGCACAGGUAUGCAUCCAGUCUUGCAACUGUACUUAUACAUAAAACCAGAUGUGUAUGUAUCAGUGAUGUGUUUCAGAAGCCUAAUGUCCUGAUGAUUUCUUUUAUUUUUCCAGUAAAAAUAAAUGGAGAUAAUAGAAAGUUUUUCAAAUGAGCUUGACUCUGAUACAUUGCUACUUCAUCAACUGUUUUAUUCACUUCCUUAUCCCAUUGGAAAUAUGCCAAGUACCUUUCAGCUCAUCUGCAAUCUGUUUGAAUAAGUUAUUGAUAAAGACAGUUCCAAAAAGUGAUUAAGAUAUAUGGCUUGAUUUGUUGUAUUUGAGGAGGUGUGUAGGCUUUCAGAAACAAGUGAAAAUGACCCUUUCCCCCCAACUGGUUAAAUUAAGUAUUUUUUCCCCUCUUAAUCUAAAAUUUCUUCUGACAUAAAAUAAGCUUAAAUGGUUCUGCAGAUUGUGAAGGGUAAAGUGACUUGAAACAGCUAAUUCAAAAAAGCUUAAGCAGUGUUCUGAAAUGUAUGUGUGUACUGUAAAUAAUAAAGGAUAGGAAGUUCUCCCAGUAAGAUGUCAGUCCUCUGAAGCUCUAUAUCCAUUUAAUCAGUAAUGGAAAUGGUCCCAGUGCAAGAAAAGAGGAUCUCUUUAAUUUUUACUGUGAUUUUUUGGCAUUGUUGCUCUAACACAAGCUUGGUUUACCUCUUAAUCCAGCCUCAGAACUGUCUGUUCUUAUCAGCUGGAUUAGAAAAUAAUGAACAUCUACAUCUUGUGAGUAUCAAAUACAAAAGCAGUUUAAAAUAAAUGCAGUUCUGACAAAAUUGGCUCAAGUACCAUACAUCAAACACUUGUUACCUCUCUUUGCCUUAGUGACUGCACAUGACUAAGAAAGAGUGAGUGAUAAAAUCUGAAGAAAGAUGAAACCAAUCUGGACCUUUUUAAAGAUCAUCAAUCAUUCUGCACAGCCAUGAUAUUAUUAUUUCCAGUAAGCCUUGUUCUCCCAUUUUAUGGACAUCUUAAGUCUCCCACCCCAGAACCAAUACUACCAUGGGAAAUCAUUUUUAUGGGCAGCAUCUCAAUGUGGGCCAAUCAGAUCUAAUCACAUAACAAGCUACUGAAUAAUUCAAUGUUCUCUGUAAUUUUGCAUUCUUCCUGCACUUUGCUGUCACUACAGGGUUUUAAAAGUAUGGAUUUUUACAAUAUUUAUUAAGAAGAUAACCAUUUGCAGAAAUUUUUCUUUCUCUAUGUAUUUCAAUAAUCAUCUUUCCCUUAGAUGGUUGCAGUGUAUACACUACUGUACACAGAAUAUUUUUUAUAAAAUAAUAACAAUACACAAUGUGGUACUCAGCUUUAAACUCUCCCAGUUUUUAAUAUACCAAAUGUAAGGACAACAAUAGCAAAACAAUUGUGUUCAAACAUAAAAUAUUCAUAUUUACGGAGCAAACUAUAACCAGCAUGUCUCUUAGCUGUUGCUAUGAAUACAGGGCUUACAUUGUAUGUGAAAAUAUUUCAGUUUUAAUUGCAAAUCUGUGCAGAGAUGAUUUGGGGUCUGUAAUUAGCACAUAAAUUUCAGGCUUUGCAACUGCUGUGAAAACACACAUUAUUUAUGGAACUAUUAUCUAAAUAUAAUUCAGUGUUUUUUGCUUUCAAUAACUACUGUAAAAGUCUGAUUUAAUAAAAUGUGAAAAAU